rnacentral:rRNA from 1 species
AUACGUAGGUGGCAAGCGUUGUCCGGAUUUACUGGGUGUAAAGGGCGCGUAGGCGGGAUUUUAAGUCAGAUGUGAAAUGUCGGGGCUCAACCCCGGAACUGCAUUUGAAACUGAAGUUCUUGAGUAUCGGAGAGGCAGGCGGAAUUCCUAGUGUAGCGGUGAAAUGCGGAGAUAUUAGGAGGAACACCAGUGGCGAAGGCGGCCUGCUGGACGACAACUGACGCUGAGGCGCGAAAGCGUGGGGAGCAAACAGGAUUAGGUACCCUGGUAGUCCACGCUGUAAACGAUGAAUACUAGGUGUGGGGGGACUGACCCCUUCCGUGCCGGAGUAAACACAAUAAGUAUUCCACCUGGGGAGUACGGCCGCAAGGUUGAAACUCAAAUGAAUUGGCGGGG